AGCUGAUCGAUUUAAGAAGGCUACAUCAUGUGUGCUAAAGAAUUCUUUGGUGAUACCAGGAGAUGAAAUGACUACGGUUGUAUUGCUUGCGAGCUUAAGUGACAUUAAAGGACCAUAACGUUUAGAUAAUAUGGCAAGUGAUUGGUGGGGUUUGUCACCGAAUUCUAAGAGGUUUCCGAUGAUAGGAAAACCUUUUGGUCCCGGAGGUAACCGGGAGUUGCGCCGGCUGGAAAUAAUGAAGGCGUACAUGAUCAAUGGUAAAAGACAAGAUACUACGAGGAAGAAGGAUUGGUACUCCAUUGUUUUGUGUGGCUGUCCUUU
rnacentral:lncRNA from 1 species